UUUGCCAGAGGGUGAAACUUGUCAAGGCAGAGACUGUUGAUGGUGGAUUGUUGCGAAAAGCAGCAGAAGCAAAGAAGGAUGAGAGUGUGCUUGUACACAUAAGAGAUAAGGACUGUGUAGCUCUUGAGGUCUCCUAUCACAGAACCUGCUAUGGAUCAUACACCAAAUUCUUGACAAGAUCUAAAUCAGAAAGUCAGACACCAGAUGGAAGAUUGUCUGAAGGUUACAAAGAGUUUUGCAGAACCGUUGUUAAACAGAGACUGAUAAGUAACCAGGAAGUUCUACGAAUGUCAACAUUGGUAAACAUCUCAUAAUCGAUGGUAUGGCACUCAUCCAGAGUUUGCAAAAUAUCCCAGCAACCUUUGGGGAGCUUGGUGAUCUGAUACUAACCCAGGUCAUCCAACAAGCACAGAAGUCGGGCUGCAGCAGAGUGGAUUAUGUUACAGACCGUUAUCCGGCCAUCAGUACAAAAAACACUGAGAGAAUGAGAAGAGCAUCUGAUGGUUCUUAAAAGAUUCAGAUCCAUAGUAAGCAGCAAAUGACUAGUGGGGACAAC